UGAAGUGCGGCGGCUAUAAUGCAGUCGACGAACUCUGGUAUUGAUUGGUGCUUGCAUCAUGAUUUACAUUUGAGUGAGUGGCGAACUGGUGAGUAACACGUGGGAAACCUGCCCAGAAGCGGGGGAUAACACCUGGAAACAGAUGCUAAUACCGCAUAACAACUUGGACCGCAUGGUCCGAGUUUGAAAGAUGGCUUCGGCUAUCACUUUUGGAUGGUCCCGCGGCGUAUUAGCUAGAUGGUGGGGUAACGGCUCACCAUGGCAAUGAUACGUAGCCGACCUGAGAGGGUAAUCGGCCACAUUGGGACUGAGACACGGCCCAAACUCCUACGGGAGGCAGCAGUAGGGAAUCUUCCACAAUGGACGAAAGUCUGAUGGAGCAACGCCGCGUGAGUGAAGAAGGGUUUCGGCUCGUAAAACUCUGUUGUUAAAGAAGAACAUAUCUGAGAGUAACUGUUCAGGUAUUGACGGUAUUUAACCAGAAAGCCACGGCUAACUACGUGCCAGCAGCCGCGGUAAUACGUAGGUGGCAAGCGUUGUCCGGAUUUAUUGGGCGUAAAGCGAGCGCAGGCGGUUUUUUAAGUCUGAUGUGAAAGCCUUCGGCUCAACCGAAGAAGUGCAUCGGAAACUGGGAAACUUGAGUGCAGAAGAGGACAGUGGAACUCCAUGUGUAGCGGUGAAAUGCGUAGAUAUAUGGAAGAACACCAGUGGCGAAGGCGGCUGUCUGGUCUGUAACUGACGCUGAGGCUCGAAAGUAUGGGUAGCAAACAGGAUUAGAUACCCUGGUAGUCCAUACCGUAAACGAUGAAUGCUAAGUGUUGGAGGGUUUCCGCCCUUCAGUGCUGCAGCUAACGCAUUAAGCAUUCCGCCUGGGGAGUACGGCCGCAAGGCUGAAACUCAAAGGAAUUGACGGGGGCCCGCACAAGCGGUGGAGCAUGUGGUUUAAUUCGAAGCUACGCGAAGAACCUUACCAGGUCUUGACAUACUAUGCAAAUCUAAGAGAUUAGACGUUCCCUUCGGGGACAUGGAUACAGGUGGUGCAUGGUUGUCGUCAGCUCGUGUCGUGAGAUGUUGGGUUAAGUCCCGCAACGAGCGCAACCCUUAUUAUCAGUUGCCAGCAUUAAGUUGGGCACUCUGGUGAGACUGCCGGUGACAAACCGGAGGAAGGUGGGGAUGACGUCAAAUCAUCAUGCCCCUUAUGACCUGGGCUACACACGUGCUACAAUGGAUGGUACAACGAGUUGCGAACUCGCGAGAGUAAGCUAAUCUCUUAAAGCCAUUCUCAGUUCGGAUUGUAGGCUGCAACUCGCCUACAUGAAGUCGGAAUCGCUAGUAAUCGCGGAUCAGCAUGCCGCGGUGAAUACGUUCCCGGGCCUUGUACACACCGCCCGUCACACCAUGAGAGUUUGUAACACCCAAAGUCGGUGGGGUAACCUUUUAGGAACCAGCCGCCUAAGGUGACAGAUUU
rnacentral:rRNA from 2 species